rnacentral:rRNA from 1 species
AUUGAACGCUGGCGGCAUGCCUAACACAUGCAAGUCGAACGAGACCUUCGGGUCUAGUGGCGCACGGGUGCGUAACGCGUGGGAAUCUGCCCCUUGGUUCGGAAUAACAGCGAGAAAUUGCUGCUAAUACCGGAUAAUGACGUAAGUCCAAAGAUUUAUCGCCAAGGGAUGAGCCCGCGUAGGAUUAGCUAGUUGGUGUGGUAAAGGCGCACCAAGGCGACGAUCCUUAGCUGGUCUGAGAGGAUGAUCAGCCACACUGGGACUGAGACACGGCCCAAACUCCUACGGGAGGCAGCAGUGGGGAAUAUUGGACAAUGGGCGCAAGCCUGAUCCAGCCAUGCCGCGUGAGUGAUGAAGGUCUUAGGAUUGUAAA